UUAUCUAUUUUCUGCAUUUUUGUAGAAUGUCAGGAGAGAAAAAAUAGCUUUAUAAAUAAUUUAAUCAGAAGACUAGGAACUAAGUCUUAUCCUGCCCAUGGUGCCUAGUAAUAUUGUGGCUCCAGUAGUUUGGCGAGUGGGAGGGAAUUGUGCCCAGUGGCCUUUUCACUUUUUCACUUCCAUAAUUCGGUGAGCAGGAGGGAGUGGCACCCAGCAACGUUUUUACUCCCGUAGUUUGGUGAGUGGGAGAGAAGGUUACAGCUUUUUUAUUCCCACCACCGGCAUCUCAGCGAGCCGGCCAAGAGUGUUACAGCUCUUUUGUUCCCGCAGUUCAGUAAACAGGAGGGAUGGUUACAGUUCUUUUAUUCCCACCACCUGCAGCUUGGCGAGACAGCCAGGAGCAUCAUAGCUCUUUUGCUCCCACAGUUCGGCAAGCAGGAGUGAGAGUUACAGCUCUUUCAUUCCCACCUCCCGCAGUUUGGUUGAGUUUUACUGGGGGACCCAGCCCUGUCUGCCUAAGAAUUUGUCUGUCUACCUGUCACCAUCAGUGAACUGCUUCGUGCAAGGUACAUUAGUCCACUUUUCAUGUGUGGAAUCUUUAAGAAGGAAAAGAUAAAUGGAGAAAGAAUAGCACCAAAAGGAAGAAAUAAAAAGGCUUCUGCUAACUGGCCUCUUUCAAGUCCUCUGCUUCAAGCAUAGUGCAAAUAAUAUAAAGAUCUCUCUCUGUCACCCAGGCUGGAGUACAGUGGCACUAU